UACAAUCUUGCAUAUGGUUUUUUCUUUGGCAAAAGUGAUUAUACUAAUUACUAACAUUUUGAGGGUGUGUCAUAGCAAACACUUGAGGCAAAUGCUUUCUUUUACCUCUUGAGAGAUGCUGCAACACCCUGCACAGGUGGUACUGUAUUAAUGAGUUACUGAGACUCUAAUUUAACCAAUUUUGGCUGUUUUCCUCUUCUGUGGGUUAUUUUCUUCCUAUUUACCUGAAUGAUUGUGUUUGCCGAUUCUGCAGCAAAUGGAACCUUUAUCUCUUUAAUGUUUCUCUCAAGCAAACAAGAAGAAAGAAUAAAUAUAAACUCCACGAAGUUGGUUUCACUUCAGGGGGCUGUGAUUUUGUUUUCUAUCUUCCUCCUGCAAAUAAAACCUAAGAGAAACAGAAUACUUUUCAAGAACUUGUAUCAGUUUUUCUAAGAUUGUAAUUAUGACAGCCUUCAGUUUUUAACCUUUCCUUGCUUAUCUAACCCCAAAGACCUUCUAGGAUUGCUAAGACAGUAAAUUUAACACAUCUGGAAACCGCUGUGACUCAGCAUUUCAUUAUUGCUAAUUUGUUAAAUUGCUCUAACAUUAUACACAAGGCACGCCUUCCCCUCCCCUACUCUGUGCCAGCCCUAGGCUCCACCCUCCAGCCUGAAGGCCCAGGUGCGGCCUUGAGACCUGGGCCAGCGUGGCUAGGAGGGGCUGCCUGAAGUCCCCCCUGCCCUCCUGCCUUGUAGCGACCCUUCUCCGGCUUCCAACCCUAAGCAAGCGCUACCACACAGCAACGUCCCCGCAAGCGCCCACGUUGCUCCUUAGGCCGUGGUGGAAGAAGGCACCUUCCCUUUUUGCAGGUGAAAACACUGGGACCAGAGAGGUCUAACGACCAACCAAGGUCACAGUUGAUGGUGGAUGGCCCCAUGGCCAGCUUCUAGUCCUGCCACCGGCUUGAAGGCCCAGGUUCCUUUCCGCAGAAAUGGAGUCGUGACUCAACACCAGGGGACCGGGAGCAGCCGAGGCAGCAGGGUAAGAAGAAGACAACCUGGCUCCAUCACAAUUCAAUAUGGCUCCACUAGAAUGGUCCUGAAGCAAUUAGAUGUAAACCAUUUAGGUAUGUGCUGAUAUGUUGCUUGUUUGAUUCCUUUCUCCUUUUAUUCCCUAAGAGUGUGACUAUAACUGGUAUGAUCAUUUUUAUUUUACACCUGAUUGUUCGGUAUGACUGUUUUCUUUUUGUUGAGUUGAUCACUUGGUGGAAUUCUCUUUCUCCUUUGAAUUUUGGCUAUGCUUUGUGAUCUGUAAAAUAAAUGAAUCCUAGAGAAGGAUGGACA
ensembl:lncRNA